GACGAACGCUGGCGGCGUGCUUAACACAUGCAAGUCGAACGAAGAGCGAUGGAAGCUUGCUUCUAUCAAUCUUAGUGGCGAACGGGUGAGUAACGCGUAAUCAACCUGCCCUUCAGAGGGGGACAACAGUUGGAAACGACUGCUAAUACCGCAUACGAUCUAAUCUCGGCAUCGAGGAUAGAUGAAAGGUGGCCUCUACAUGUAAGCUAUCACUGAAGGAGGGGAUUGCGUCUGAUUAGCUAGUUGGAGGGGUAACGGCCCACCAAGGCGAUGAUCAGUAGCCGGUCUGAGAGGAUGGACGGCAACAGUGGGACUGAGACACGGCCCAGACUCCUACGGGAGGCAGCAGUGGGGAAUCGUCCGCAAUGGACGAAAGUCUGACGGAGCAACGCCGCGUGAGUGAGGACGGCCUUCGGGUUGUAAAGCUCUGUUAAUCGGGACGAAAGGCCUUCUUGCGAAUAGUGAGAAGGAUUGACGGUACCGGAAUAGAAAGCCACGGCUAACUACGUG
rnacentral:rRNA from 1 species